rnacentral:snRNA from 1 species
GGAUGUGAGUGCAGUCUGGCUGUGACGGCUGUCACUUCAUUGAUCAGCAGGGUUGAUUUAGCUGAUCUGGCUGCCUAGGCGGGUGUCCCCUCCUUCCCUCACCACUCCAUAUGUGUGCCUCCUGAAGCUGCACACUUGGUUGAAGAGGAUGACCUGCCCCAAUGGAGGAGGACCGUUCUUUGGUCAAGGGUAUACAAGUAGCUGUACUUCCCUGUUAGAACCUCCAGACAAGCUCUCAGGGUCCAUUUGUAGGAGAACAUAGGGUAGUCAAGGUUCCAAGACUUCAGACACAUUCAAAUGCAGCCCUGCAUGUGACCAUUGCCUUCCUUA